UAAGCCAUUUGUUCGUAUUCCCACCGUGGAAUGGGCUUGUGGUUCAAGGGUUUAGCCCCUCAGUUCAUGACUCCAUCCUUCCUCUUCUCCAUCUGCUUUGGGAAACAUGCUCCUGACCUCAUAAGGGGAACAGCAUCUCCAAGAACUAGAUAAAAAAAAAAGUCCCCAUUUUGGGUUUAAAGCACAAGUUUGCCAAAAGGCAAUGAGAUUUCCUGAGUGAGAUAAUUCCAAGCAUCACUUCAUCCUUCCCCAACGUAUAUGCAAACACAUCAACAUUAUAAGUUAUUGACUCCUGCUUCCCUAGCCCUUGCUUGAUCUGCUGCAACCUGGCUCUGACACAGAUGAAUCUGGAUCACUGAAAAUGGAUCUCUAAAAGUUACCAACCCAGCUAACCUUGCAAACAAGCUGCUUCAGACAAGCGUAGAAGCCACUCUUGAUCUUUGGAAUGAAGUCCACAGGGAGUCUCAACCUGUAUCUUCAUACUGAGUGGGUUGGAUGAUGCAAAUGUAUAUGGUCUGUCCUUGGCAAACAAAGUGCAACAAGUUGAGCAUUAAUUAAGUCUUGGAUUAUAAGAGUAUUAGAGAACAAUGUUUUUUUGCAAUGCAACAAUCAUGGUAUUAGAGCGAUUCUUGAGGUUGGGGAUCAUAGUAUGGGAGAAGUCAAUUUCUUUGAUCUUGGAGAUUGUGAUUAUAUGAUGACUACAGCUGUGCUAAGGUAACCUUGGUGUAUCUGACAGUUCAUAUGAAUUGUCCUCUAAUGGACUACACUUUUGUAUUCAUCAAGGAAGAUCUGGUGAAGCAAUUCAGUCAGCACCUCUGCAAACAGUGGAGGCUGAGAGCCCUUUUUCAUGAUUAAAGGUCAUGGAAACAUUUCUUCACAGGAGACCCAGAAUAAUUCUAAAAGUUCUUAUGCCAUUAAAGAAGUUCAUACAUUUUGUGAUCUCUUCAUACCCUUUCUGCCAUAGUAUAUUUAUAUAUUAUUUUUAUGUAUAUAUUUAUAUUUAUUACACAUUUAUUAUAUAAUUAUAUAUUUAUUUUAUAAUAUAUUAUUAUUUUUAUUUAUUUUUAUUAUUUAUUUAAAUAUUUUUAUUUAAAUUUUAUUAUUACACAUUUAUA